GCGCGGGCGACCCGGCCGGGGUGGCGGCGCUGCAGGCGGCGCUGGCGCGGUUCCAGUCGGUGCUGGCGCA
rnacentral:tRNA from 1 species